rnacentral:misc_RNA from 1 species
GCGUAAUUUUCCUCGACAUAAAACGCUGUCGCAUAUACUUUAAAGGUUACAGAAAACAUGCACAAAGAAUUUGAACGACUUGAUCAGAUGGCGCUAUAUUGCUUUUUCUAUAUACGUAUGUAUAUACUGUGUGUAUGUUUACGUUUAAUGUGGUCUGAAAAUACGUUAUAAAUUUAUUAUUAUCGUGUGUCAUUAAAUAUACGUAUCGCGAAUAUUUGGCUUCAGUAAUUAAAGACAUAUCAUCAUACAGAUAUACGUUAUACUGUCAACACCUUAAAAUAAUAAAAAGGUAACACUCAAUGGGUUUUGUUUCCAUUUGCAAAUCCCACACUUUCACACUGAGAGAAGAAACUUCUGUUUGUUGGAUCUUCUGGUUCUUCAAAGAGCUUACUAUGUUGGUCACAAAGCGCAGCAGAUCUCAUGUCACAGAGUCUAAUUGUUCCUUUGCUACUACUAUAUACCAAGACGUUACAUUCUGCCGGGUGAAAUUCCGCAGCAGUUAUUACUUCUGUUAGUUCCUCCAUAUUAGUUGGCUUAAUGUCUACUAUAUCUGUGUAUCAUUAUUAAGAAAACGAUAUAGUUCAUUAUAAUAAAUUUAUAUCCAAGAUGUAUAAAUAUAAUUUAGAAUUUGUAAACGAAAAAUAAAAUAAAUAUUAAAUGACAUAGAAAAAAGGAUACUAAAACUCUGGUCUGUGAUUUCAAGGUGCCAAAGGUUAAUUCUAAGAUCAUCAGCACUGAGGUAUGUUUCCUGAUCACUGUUAACACUUAUACUGUUUAUAUGAUAGGUGUGCGCAUUGGCAAAUAUUCUCCUUGGGGAUGCUUCUACCAUCAAUUCCAUUGGUUUUAUAGUUGGUACCUAGGUCAAAAUACAUAAGUAUUCAAUAUAUGAUAAUCAAAAUGCACAAGCCUCAUAAUGUUAUGUGCAUAUUUGAACUCGACCUUCUCUUGAAAAUAUUUUUGUUAGAAACACAAUAGUAUAAGGAAAAUUAUAUUUAUAUGGUUAGAAGGUACAAAGAGAAAUCAUAAAGAGUUUUAGAAUUUACCACAUUAUAUGUAUAAUAUCACAAUAAUCUCGUUAAAACUCAUCAAUACUCACCC